UACGUAGGGUGCAAGCGUUGUCCGGAAUUAUUGGGCGUAAAGAGCUCGUAGGCGGCUUGUCGCGUCGGCUGUGAAAACCUGGGGCUCAACCCCGGGCCUGCAGCCGAUACGGGCAAGCUAGAAUUCGGUAGGGGAGACUAGAAUUCCUGGUGUAGCGGUGAAAUGCGCAGAUAUCAGGAGGAACACCGGUGGCGAAGGCGACUACCUGGCCUGUUCUUGACGCUGAGGCGCGAAAGCUAGGGGAGCAAACGGG
rnacentral:rRNA from 1 species